UUAAGAGACUUUUAUGGUUUGUCCCUCUCUGGUUUCAUCUUGUUUCAUUUUUCCUCUAAAGUUGAAUCAGAUCCUUCCACUGAAGUAGUCUGGGUGGGAGGGAGUCGAUUAGACCUCUCUGGAAGCUCCAUGAGCAGCCCGGCACGGCUCUAGUUGGAUACUCCAGUUUGGCAGGCCCAGGCCUGAGCGUCCCGUCUUCUCCUCUCGCUUUCUACCUGCCAGUGCCUGGGCAGCAGUGGGGAACGGGCGGCUGUGAGUCCCGGUGCGAUCCCGGCAGUGCCCUUGCCCUUUGGGUCGCUUGCUGUGCUGGUGACAUGUUUUGUUCUUCACACAGAUUCCCCAGAAUAGAAGUGGUAGAAUGGCUAGGAUGGAAACUGCAGGAAGACGACGUCAGGUCACUAGAGAGAAUGCCCCAAAGCGGAAGCUGCUGCACCUGCAUUCCCGGCCUCCCUGAGGGGACUCCAGAUGACCACACUGUACACUUCCCAGGGGUGUCGACGGCCAUGAGGCCUGCCCUGCCCAGUGGUAUUAUUUGCCGGGCCACCCUGUCUUGCCAGGUAGUCGUGCUGUGUUGUGACUGCAGCAAAAACCUGGUGUGUCUCAGAUGUGGUGGGCAGCGUGGAUGAGCCACACCGGGGUCCAACGCCUCCCACCCCCGAGCACUGCCCCAGCAGAGACGAUCUUCUUUGCAACUGUUUCCACCCCUCACGUUGCAGAUACCUGUGCAUCCACACGGGCUUAUCAUCAGCAUGAAUAAGUCCUGCUAGAUGAGAAAAUGACUUGUGAGCAGGUGGAUAAUGAAAGUAACUGACCCUAAAUGUGGACUGCGAACAUCAGCAUACUAGUGAUGCAAGAAAUCACUGAAAACACUGUGGGAGAAGAAUGGAAACAUUUUCUAGAAAACCCAGUAAUGACCAGAAUAGAUCUAUUGCGUUUUUCGCAUGCAUUAGGUAACUAUGCAGAAUUGAGCUUCAGCCCCACCGGCUCCACCAGAAUUGCUCUCUCCGCGCUCACCAGUACCCUCCACAUCACCCAUGCCAGAAGCAUUUCGGAGUCCUCAUCUUGGCUGGCACACUCCUCAGGGGACCAUCUGAGAAUCCUUCUCUUGUACAUGAAGAAAACCCAGCUCAAAUUGUAGUAAACGAAGGAGAUUGCAUUUCUGCAGAACGUCAGAAAAUAGAAAUCCUGUUUUUCACUUGUGCCCAAUUCUUUCUACAAAAAAGUAAACAUGAAGGACUUGUUACAGAGCUCUUCUAACUGCAAGAGUGCUUGCAGAUACAGGAGGAAGCACUGAAUUAUCUGAUUAGCAUGACUCUGAUGGAGGAUAAGGUGGGAGCUACUCAAGGAAGGGGGAGAAGUCCUCAUGAGGAGAUAAUACCCCAGUGCAAACCUGAAGGGUGAUGUAUUCAUUUCCUAGAACUGCUGUAACAAAGUACCACUGACAAGGGGGCUUCACCAAAAGAAAUUUAUUGUCUCACAGUCUCUGGAUGCUACAAGUCCAAAAUCAAGGUGUCAGCAGGAUUGGUUCCUUCUGAGGACAUUGAAGUAUCUGUCCAAGCUUCUCUCUUCGCUUUGCCGAUGGCCAUCUUUACUGUAUGUCUCUCCAUAUUAUCUUCCCUCUAUGCAC